GAUGAACGCUGGCGGCGUGCUUAACACAUGCAAGUCGAACGGGAAAUAUUUCAUUGAGCCUUCGGUGGAUUUGAUUUAUUUCUAGUGGCGGACGGGUGAGUAACGCGUGGGUAACCUGCCUUAUACAGGGGGAUAACAGUCAGAAAUGGCUGCUAAUACCGCAUAAGCGCACAGAGCUGCAUGGCUCAGUGUGAAAAACUCCGGUGGUAUAAGAUGGACCCGCGUUGGAUUAGCUAGUUGGUGGGGUAACGGCCCACCAAGGCGACGAUCCAUAGCCGGCCUGAGAGGGUGAACGGCCACAUUGGGACUGAGACACGGCCCAGACUCCUACGGGAGGCAGCAGUGGGGAAUAUUGCACAAUGGGGGAAACCCUGAUGCAGCGACGCCGCGUGAAGGAAGAAGUAUCUCGGGAUGUAAACUUCUAUCAGCAGGGAAGAUAGUGACGGUACCUGACUAAGAAGCCCCGGCUAACUACGUG
rnacentral:rRNA from 1 species